rnacentral:rRNA from 1 species
AACGUAGGAGACAAACGUUAUCCGGAGUUACUGGGCGUAAAGGGCGUGUAGGCGGUCUGUUAAGUCUGGCGUGAAAGCUCUCGGCUAAACCGGGAGAGGUCGUUGGAUACUGGCAGACUAGAGGACGGUAGAGGCGUGUGGAAUUCCUGGUGUAGCGGUGAAAUGCGCAGAUAUCAGGAGGAACACCGGUGGCGAAGGCGGUUCUCUGGGCCUUACCUGACGCUGAGGAGCGAAAGCGUGGGGAGCAAACAGG